ACCCUCACUAUAUUAUUUUUUUAGGAAAACUUUAUUUUCUUUAGAAAACCUUUGGCCUUGUAUGAUAACAAUUUUUUACUUUUAUGUUUUGCCUUUUAAAAAAAAAUAGAAAAAAAAAAGAAAGAAAUAUAUUUAAUUCAUAAAAAAAUAUCCAAGCAUGCCCAUGAAUGAGAUCUCUCUACAUUUUGGCAAUAUGCACUUUGCUUAGGGAAAAAAAAAGACUUUUGUGGCUGCUUAUUUCCUAUGCAAAAACUGUGAAGCUACACGGGAAAGGAGAACUUGAACCUUUGCUGGCAGAAAUCGAAAAUAAAAAGGCAUAAAGCUAGCUUGCUGAGCAAAUUUUUGUUUAAAGAUUUCAAUGGCCUUGCAAUAUGACUCCGAACUUGCACAUUUGUAGCUUUAUGUUUCAUAUAAGAACGCACUGGGUAAAUUGCUUCCAUGGCCACUACUUCAAGCCUUUUCACUUCCACUGCUUUCUGUUGUUAUUGUGCUGCUGCAAACUUAUGAAAUUCAAGAAAGAAGACAAGCAGCUUUAGGAAACUGAGGCAUUUAUGUGGAGAUCAACUUUCUUAAAAAUAGUGUUCAACUAGAAUUAAUCAAAAAUAGAUAUAGGAUUUCAGUUUACAAUGCUCG